UAGGCAAUCAUUUUAAUAUAUUUGUAGCUAUUUUAAAUACAGUUUGGGGGUCGGUGUCAAGGAAGAGAGCCAGCAUCGUGUGACCAGCUUGCUCUUUAGGGAUAGAUCACCAAUGUUGCCAGAUAUAAGGAGGUUGUUUAAAAAAGAUUUAGGGCCAAGUUCAUUCCUGGUGUCCAGUCACUGACUCCAAUUGUUUUUCUGUUGAGGGAUUUUACUGAACAUUUGUCUAUGAAUCCAAAAAAAUGUGACCCAGGGGUGAGAGGAAGAGAAGGCUCAGAUUUUGGGUCAGUGGCUGAUUGAUGGCACAAGAAACAAAGGACCAACUCUUGUUAGUCUAUAGUUAAACUACAAAGAGAAGGAAGAAGAUGUAGAACUCAUCAUGAUGAGCUGUCUAAUCCUCCCACUUUAAUACACAUUUGUUUCAUCAGCUGAUUGAAAUUAAGAUCUACUGCAACAGAACACAGUUUUGGCAUGUGGGAGUUGCUUCAGCCAACACCCUUUAGCUGGAGAAGAACUUUAUGCAAGAUUAGCAACUUGACAUCAUAAACAACACAAAAAAAAGAGGAACUGACAUUUUGUUUAUGAAAGUUCUA